CUAAUUCGCGAGAGGGAAGGGUACCAAUCACCUUACAGAUUUGAAUCUUGUCGCAGUGCUGAACUUACCACCAACUCCAUGUCGGGACUGUUACUGCUCCACGUGGAAGGUCCUGAGACUGACGCUGAUCUUGGACAUGUGACUGAUGUGCGAUCUUGGCCGCAGUGAGGAGUCCGGUUUUGGGACAAGCACCCAACACUCGUUGAGGGCCUGUUUGAUAAAAAAUCCGCCUG
rnacentral:lncRNA from 1 species